GGAUUGCAGUGGCAAAGCUAGGCUAGGUCUUGGAGGCUGGUGUAAGGCGAUGCGGGUGAAGGCAGGAGGCUGAUGGAAAGACUGGGGGGAAGAAAAGCCGAAAUGGAUUCACGGUGCCUUGGAUGAAGGACGAGAGGGGAACUGCAAGCUCCUUCAACUGGUUCUGUCCGGUGAGAAGUGAUCAAGCUUGGGCUGACAAGAGGCUCAGGGAGCCCUCACGUUCUUUCGCUUUUUUACCUGCCAAUCAAACUGCUACAAGACAACACCCUGAUCUGGCAUGGACAUUCAUUGCAGUCACCUGGAGUCGCGGAAAUGACCAUGAUUGCCUGAACUUUCAUAACUUCUGUGGUUGCAGAAAAGAGAAAACCUGGACUGUGAGGGACAUUUUACUCCCUGACCUUUGUCUCAAUACCUUCACAGAUGUGAAGAACUAGCAACAAAAUGACUUAGACAGCAACGUGAUUCCUAGAGAAUGGCAAGACCAAUUCUUCAACUACUUCUUCAGCAUUUCUGAAACAGUUGGAAGAUGGCCCAUAGUGCUCUCUUAAUUCUUUGAUAAUUUGGACAUUGACCUUUCCAUUAUAUGACCUGGGCUUGUGGGCAUCAUGUCGUAAUGUGCCUGUUCAGACAUCUCCCUGUACCAAUAUGGAUCACUUGAAGAGACUCCUUUGCCUCCAUCAAAAAGGAUACAGUUGUGUAUCUCUUUCAUUUUUGUUUACAGUGCCUAAAAUUAUUUGAGCAGUUUUUCACCU
rnacentral:sRNA from 1 species